rnacentral:rRNA from 1 species
AAAGACUUGACGGUACCUUAAAACAACCUAGAGGAGCCUGUCAAAUAACCGAUACUCCACGAUUAACCUUACCCCCUCUAGCCCAACAGUCUAUAUACCGCCGUCGCCAGCCUACCUUGUAAAAGAAACAAAGUAAGCUAAAUAGCCACACACUAACACGACAGGUCAAGGUGUAACCCAUGAGGGGGUUCAAGAUGGGCUACAUUUUCUAACCGCAGAAAACACGGAUAAAACAUGAAAUAAAAAACUGAAGGCGGAUUUAGCAGUACAUUAAGAACAAAUAUACCUA